rnacentral:rRNA from 1 species
AUUGAACGCUGGCGGCAGGCUUAACACAUGCAAGUCGAGCGGAGAGAGGUAGCUUGCUACUGAUCUUAGCGGCGGACGGGUGAGUAAUGCUUAGGAAUCUGCCUAUUAGUGGGGGACAACAUUUCGAAAGGAAUGCUAAUACCGCAUACGUCCUACGGGAGAAAGCAGGGGAUCUUCGGACCUUGCGCUAAUAGAUGAGCCUAAGUCGGAUUAGCUAGUUGGUGGGGUAAAGGCCUACCAAGGCGACGAUCUGUAGCGGGUCUGAGAGGAUGAUCCGCCACACUGGGACUGAGACACGGCCCAGACUCCUACGGGAGGCAGCUGUGGGGAAUAUUGGACAAUGGGCGGAAGCCUGAUCCAGCCAUGCCGCGUGUGUGAAGAAGGCCUUAUGGUUGUAAAGCACUUUAAGCGAGGAGGAGGCUACUUUAGUUAAUAUCUAGAGAUAGUGGACGUUACUCGCAGGAUAAGCACCGGCUAACUCUGUGCCAGCCGCCGCAGUAACAC